UAAUAAGUGUUUUAUGGCACUUUUUAAAUCCAUAUCCACCUUGUGUGCAAUGUCAGUCGAUCUUCCUCAUAGGAGAUCGACCAAACAUCAACCUUUAUCUUUUAACUCUUUGUCUGAAAAAUAUUAUGAAUAAACAAUUCAAAAUA
rnacentral:misc_RNA from 1 species